AGUGAACGCUGGCGGCGUGCCUAACACAUGCAAGUCGAACGAUGAUGGAGAGCUUGCUCUCCUGAUUAGUGGCGCACGGGUGAGUAUACCAUAGAUAAUGUACCUCUUAGUUCGGGAUAGCCACUGGAAACGGUGAUUAAUACCGGAUACUCCUUCUUACUCUAAGGUAAGUCGGGAAAGUUUUUUCGCUAAGAGAUCAGUCUAUGUCCUAUCAGCUAGUUGGUGAGGUAAUGGCUCACCAAGGCUAUGACGGGUAUCUGGUUUGAGAGGAUGAUCAGACACACUGGAACUGAGACACGGUCCAGACUCCUACGGGAGGCUG
rnacentral:rRNA from 1 species